AUCCCAUGGACAGAGGAGCCUGGAGGGCUACCAUUCAUAGGGUCACAAAGAGUCGGACACAGCUGAAGUGACUUAGCAGGCACGCACGACAGGAAAAUAAUCUGGUCAUCAAAAAGAAAAUGCAGUGGAUAAGAACUAUGCAGUAUUCAUGAACACCUAGAGCCUGAAAAUGAGGAACUUACUAUAUUCUGUGAUAAUGUGAAUUCAUCCAUAAAGCAUUAAGACAUUAAUGUGUGGGCACUAAGAUAGCCCAGAAAAUGAACGCAGGUUCAUGAAACCAGCAGUAAAUUAAGGGGUGGGGGAAGGCCAACGCUCAAAGAAAUCAAAGCGAGAAUAUGAACACACAUGGGAACUACACAACUUCAUAGUCGUUAAGUACCACCAGCCCAGGUGGGAUGCAUGAGACAAGUGCUCUGGCCUGGUGCACUGGGAAGACCCAGAGGAAUCGGGUGGAGAGGGA